ACUUAAAUAGCUUAUAAAGAGCAUGGCAUUGAAGCUGCUAAGGAAAUAGUAUUAUUUUUAAGUG
rnacentral:tRNA from 1 species